rnacentral:rRNA from 1 species
AUUGGAGGGCAAGUCUGGUGCCAGCAGCCGCGAUAAUUCCAGCUCCAAUAGCGUAUAUUAAAGUUGUUGCAGUUAAAAAGCUCGUAGUUGAACUUUGGGCCUGUGUAGCCGGUCCGAUUUUUUCGUGUACUGGAAUGCACCCGGGCCUUUCCUUCUGGCUAACCCCAAGUCCUUGUGGCUUGGCGGCGAACCAGGACUUUUACUUUGAAAAAAUUAGAGUGUUCAAAGCAGGCGUAUUGCUCGAUUAUAUUAGCAUGGAAUAAUGGAAUAGGACGUUUGGUUCUAUUUUGUUGGUUUCUACGACCAUCGUAAUGAUUAAUAGGGACGGUCGGGGGCAUCAGUAUUCAAUUGUCAGAGGUGAAAUUCUUGGAUUUAUUGAAGACUAACUACUGCGAAAGCAUUUGCCAAGGACGUUUUCAUUAAUCAAGAACGAAAGUUAGGGGAUCGAAGAUGAUCAGAUACCGUCGUAGUCUUAACCAUAAACUAUGCCGACUAGGGAUCGG